UCCCUGGUGGUCCAGUGGUUAAGACUCUGCCCUUCUACUGUGGAGGGCACAGGUUCAAACCCUGGUUAGGGAA
rnacentral:tRNA from 1 species